ACUCUAAAAUUGCAAUUUCUUCUUGUGAUGUCUUUCCUUUUUCAAGCGCCCUUGACUCUUUCCUCUCUUCUUGAUGCCACCUCGAACCUUCAAUCUCUUCGAAUCGUUGCCGCCAUUGCUGGGACCGGCCUCGUCCACGGCCAUAGAGGUAGAGGACUGCCCUUCCCUUCCUCGAGUUGGUUCCUCAACUUCUGCGACCGAAAAGAAAGCAUCCGCUCGUAAGUUACAAGCACAUAGAGAAUCAAUGCAGUGAUACAACUUCACAAAGACUAGAACUGGGCUGCCACGUACUAUACUUACAAAAACAAACAGACAAUUCAACGACGUUACCGUAUGCGAAAUGCCCACUGAAAUUUAACCCACUUUUCACCAAGACAAAAAGUACAAGUUAAUCCAUCGAAACACCACAUCUGUGCCCGGCUACUUCUCAAGAAACCCCCAUAUUGCAAAAUUGUAUCGCCGGAACCAUACAAGAAUGCCAUGAGACGAGCAUCUGAAAGCGUACCAACUAUAGAACUACAACAAGUUCAAUCUAAGAGACAUCCAAAAAACUUCACCCUAAACUCCUUAACCGUUCUCUGAACUUGAUUACACCUGAUUAGGAACGCACUACCAUCAACCCAGUUUCAUCAUUCAUAUCCACCAAAUCUUAGUUGAAAGGGAAAACUCACCCAUGGUUUCUUCACGAGACCGCUUCUUCGGAAGCUCAAGCUUCGGCGCCGCCAAGGCAGCUUCCAUGAUCGCUUGCUUGGCAGCAUCUUUCUCAUCAUAGUGAGGCGUCACGAGUUCCCGUUUGAGCGUCCUCAGCCGCUUCAACCUCUUCGACCUGAUUGACUUGCCCAUCUCUGCGAACUUCGAGAUACGACCGACCUCACGGUUCAACUUCCCUCAAACCCACUUAGGGAACCCAGAGCGUCCUGAGAACUAUUCACGCAAAGAAGUGAAGGCAAUUGAGGUAUAGAGACGCCUCUGUAAAGAAAACAAACGAG
rnacentral:lncRNA from 1 species